rnacentral:rRNA from 1 species
GGGGAAUAUUGCACAAUGGGGGAAACCCUGAUGCAGCGACGCCGCGUGGAGGAAGAAGGUCUUCGGAUUGUAAACUCCUGUUGUUGAGGAAGAUAAUGACGGUACUCAACAAGGAAGUGACGGCUAACUACGUGCCAGCAGCCGCGGUAAAACGUAGGUCACAAGCGUUGUCCGGAAUUGCUGGGUGUAAAGGGAGCGCAGGCGGGAAGACAAGUUGGAAGUGAAAUCUAUGGGCUCAACCCAUAAACUGCUUUCAAAACUGUUUUUCUUGAGUAGUGCAGAGGUAGGCGGAAUUCCCGGUGUAGCGGUGGAAUGCGUAGAUAUCGGGAGGAACACCAGUGGCGAAGGCGGCCUACUGGGCACCAACUGACGCUGAGGCUCGAAAGUGUGGGUAGCAAACAGGAUUAGAUACCCUGGUAGUCCACACCGUAAACGAUGAUUACUAGGUGUUGGAGGAUUGACCCCUUCAGUGCCGCAGUUAACACAAUAAGUAAUCCACCUGGGGAGUACGACCGCAAGGUUGAAACUCAAAGGAAUUGACGGGGGCCCGCACAAGCAGUGGAGUAUGUGGUUUAAUUCGACGCAACGCGAAGAACCUUACCAAGUCUUGACAUCCUGCGACGAUGCUGGAAACAGUAUUUUCCUUCGGGACGCAGAGACAGGUGGUGCAUGGUUGUCGUCAGCUCGUGUCGUGAGAUGUUGGGUUAAGUCCCGCAACGAGCGCAACCCUUACUGUCAGUUACUACGCAAGAGGACUCUGGCAGGACUGCCGUUGACAAAACGGAGGAAGGUGGGGAUGACGUCAAAUCAUCAUGCCCUUUAUGACUUGGGCUACACACGUACUACAAUGGCGUUAAACAAAGAGAAGCAAGACCGCGAGGUGGAGCAAAACUCAGAAACAACGUCCCAGUUCGGACUGCAGGCUGCAACUCGCCUGCACGAAGUCGGAAUUGCUAGUAAUCGUGGAUCAGCAUGCCACGGUGAAUACGUUCCCG